AUUGAACGCUGGCGGCAUGCCUUACACAUGCAAGUCGAACGGUAACAGGUCUUCGGAUGCUGACGAGUGGCGAACGGGUGAGUAAUACAUCGGAACGUGCCUAGUAGUGGGGGAUAACUACUCGAAAGAGUGGCUAAUACCGCAUGAGAUCUACGGAUGAAAGCAGGGGAUCGCAAGACCUUGUGCUACUAGAGCGGCCGAGGGCAGAUUAGGUAGUUGGUGGGAUAAAAGCUUACCAAGCCGACGAUCUGUAGCUGGUCUGAGAGGACGAUCAGCCACACUGGGACUGAGAAACGGCCCAGACUCCUACGGGAGGCAGCAGUGGGGAAUCUUGGACAAUGGGCGCAAGUCUGAUCCAGCAAUGCCGCGUGCAGGAUGAAGGCCUUCGGGUUGUAAACUGCUUUUGUACGGAACGAAAAGCCCCGGGUUAAUACCCUGGGGUCAUGACGGUAUCGUAAGAAUAAGCACCGGCUAACUACGUGCCAGCAGCCGCCGCGG
rnacentral:rRNA from 1 species